rnacentral:rRNA from 1 species
UUAAUUCGAGGCAACGCGAAGAACCUUACCUGGUCUUGAAAUAUAUUUGACCGGCUGUGAAAGCAGCUUUCCCUUCGGGGCGGAUAUACAGGUGCUGCAUGGCUGUCGUCAGCUCGUGCCGUGAGGUGUUCGGUUAAGUCCGGCAACGAGCGCAACCCGUGUUACUAGUUGCCAGCAGGUAAAGCUGGGGACUCUAGUGAGACUGCCUGUGUUAAGCAGGAGGAAGGCGCGGAUGACGUCAAGUCAGUAUGGCCCUUACGACCAGGGCUGCACACGUGCUACAAUGGGCGGUACAAUGGGACGCGAAAUCGCGAGAUGGAGCAAAUCCACAAAACCGCUCUUAGUUCAGAUUGCAGUCUGCAACCCGACUACAUGAAGCUGGA